UGGUUAAGAGUUGGUAAUAGGGGUUAAGAGUGUUAGUGGUUAAAAGAAGUUGUCUAUCUUUGCUUGUAAACUUAAUCUAGUGCCUAGAGUAGAGGUAUGGACAGGCGAGAGUUCUUUAGUCUAGAGUCCAAGUAAUUGAGUUGUACUAAGUAGCUGUAAAACUACUACAAGUAUGUGUGUAUGGCGUUGUAAGAAUGUAUCCAGUUCUAAUAGAAAAGAGUUGACGAAAGAGUACAUCCAACGAGUUCUCUCUUCUAUCUUCAAGAGUGUAAUUUUAUAUGUCUUUGAAUCACAUCAAAGGAAACAGAGUAAAGAGAGAAUAAACCAAAGCUUGUGUUAAGACAAACAGCACAAGUAAAGACAAAAACAGAACAAAACAGAGAAGAGCUGGCCGUGAGUGAGGCCAAGCCAAAAAGUUCAACACCUGGGAAGAUGAAGAUGAUUGAAAUGAUGAAAUGGAGUUUACAAAAGAAAACAAAAACUGUUAAAAGCCAUUUCGAGUGUUACAGGUACUGGUUUCACAAUUGUCACCUCAGCAAUGUUCAAAACUUAUUUUGCAUUCAGCAUGACAAGCAGGCUCAUCUCAAGAUAACGUAUAGGAGCUUAAAGAAGUUCUAUGAAAGUGGAUAAGCAACUAUAUGUAUCGCAAGGGGAUAAUGGGGAAGCACACUCAAGAAAAAAAGCAGUAUAGCUAACGGAAAAGUGAGUACUCAUCAAUGUCAAAGACACGUUCAAAGGUUUCUGAUGAGGUUUAGGGCAGAACAAGGGUUUUGUGGUUAUGCAGGUUCCAGGUACGAAGGCAUGUCAAUACAAGGAAAGGUAUUAAAAAAGUAUACACCAAGGAUUCUAGAUAAGAUAUCAGAAUAAGCUAGAGAAGAGGAGCCACAUGCCUAUCAUUGGUCAAUAUGGUAUGAAGCUAGUUUAAAGUUAACAAGCAGUGGAUUUCAAAUCUACUGGUGGAGUUUGUUCCUUGUAGAUUGUUUUGUUACCUACUUUUCAAGUUAUUCAUUGGAUCAGUUGGUAUAUGCCCCCGUUGGUUCUCUGCCACCAUAUGGUUCGAUGUACGCACGUUCCCUUCCUUUUAAUUUUAAUUUUCAUUAAUUUAACAAAUUAUUGAUUCCUUCUGUUCUGAUAUUUACUGGCUCCACUCCACAUACACCUAUAUCUUUUUUUAUCAACAUACGUACUACACCUGUAGGCUGUAGACUGUGAUAGGAAAUUUAUUGCACUAUUUUCUUUCUAUAUCAGCUAAAAGUUGGCUCAACAACUUUUGAUAGUUUUUAUUUGGUUUCUCUUAAUGUAUGUGAGAGUAUAAUUAGUUUUUUAUUUAUUUAUUUAUUAUUUUAUUGCAUUUGUGUAUGGUUAUAUAUUUUUGAAUAUUUUUACCACACACAUAUAUAAAUGAUUAUGUUUUAAAAUACUAAUAAUUUAUUUAAUUAUGUAGUAAC
rnacentral:lncRNA from 1 species